ACAUGCAAGUCGAGGGGCAGCAUAAACUAGCAAUAGUUUGAUGGCGACCGGCGCACGGGUGAGUAACACGUAUCCAACCUUCCCUUUACCCGGGGAUAGCCUUUCGAAAGAAAGAUUAAUACCCGAUGGCAUAACAGUUGCGCAUGCUUCUGUUAUUAAAGGAUUCCGGUAACGGAUGGGGAUGCGCUCCAUUAGCUUGUUGGUAAGGUAACGGCUUACCAAGGCUCCGAUGGAUAGGGGUUCUGAGAGGAAGGUCCCCCACACUGGUACUGAGACACGGACCAGACUCCUACGGGAGGCAGCAGUGAGGAAUAUUGGUCAAUGGGCGAGAGCCUGAACCAGCCAAGUAGCGUGGAGGAUGACGGCCCUACGGGUUGUAAACUCCUUUUGCAGGGGAAUAACGGCAGCCACGUGUGGCUGCGUGCAUGUACCUUGCGAAUAAGGAUCGGCUAACUCCGUGCCAGCAGCCGCGGUAAUACGGAGGAUCCGAGCGUUAUCCGGAUUUAUUGGGUUUAAAGGGUGCGUAGGCGGACGUUUAAGUCAGCUGUGAAGUUCGGUGCUCAACGCCGGAAUUGCAGUUGAUACUGUAUGUCUUGAGUGCACAGAGGCAGGCGGAAUUCGUCGUGUAGCGUGAAAUGCUUAGAUAUCACGAAGACUCCUAUUGCGAUGCAGACUGCUGGGGUGUUAC
rnacentral:rRNA from 1 species